AUGCGUAUACACAGAGGGUUUGCUCUAACUGAGUGACACGGACAUGACCUGUUUUGAUUGCUCAUAAGACAUUGCAUCUUUGCUCUGAUGGACCGUCCGCGUUCUGACCACAUCCUGCUGGUCCUAUGCCUCCUGUUUCUGCUCUGUGUCCAUGGCAACGCUCAAGACCAAGGCCCUACAUGUGAGGUGCGAGUGAUAAGAAACACCAUUUGGAAUGCUGUCCCUCAGAAAGCCCUAACAAUCAACUGCCCUGUGAGGCACUGUGGAGAAAAGCUACACGCCACCUGGUGUAAAUUUGUGGACCCAUUAAACUGUGAACAGAUACAUGAGACAGAGCAAGUCACAUUUGGAUGGAGGCCAAAAAAUAUUUGGAUUUUGUAUUUUAAAAAGAUAUCUAUCAAUGACGAUGGUUUGUACAGAUGUGGAGUUGCUGGAAAUGGGUCAACAACUGUUAGCCAUGCUAUCAAAGUCUCUGUCUCAGGUAACCAACCAAAGCUUAUUUAAUCUUUCAAUCUAAUGUCUUAGAAUGGAUCGAUAGAUACUAAGUUGUUCUGGAAGCCGUUGUUGUCUGACAAACGUCCGGGGGCGGCCUAGGAAAAAAAUUAUGCCCUGGCAUUUUAGCCACACAUUACCGCUUGUGCACCAUCAUGCGCUAUUACAUAUAAAGCCAAUGUAUUAAGGAACUGGCAGUA